rnacentral:rRNA from 1 species
UCUCGAAGAUUAAGCCAUGCAUGUAUAAGUUCAUGCCUUGAUAAGGUGAAACCGCGAAUGGCUCAUUAAAACAGUCAUGAUCUAUUUGAUGUUUAAGUUUUUCUUAACUUUACAAGGAUAACUGUGGUAAUUCUAGAGCUAAUACUUGCAAAAAAGCCGUAACUCUUAGUUGGGAAGCGGUGCGUUUAUUAGACCAAGACCAAUGAUCUUAGGAUCUACAAUUAUGGUGACUCUGGAUAACUAAUGGCGUAAAAACCAUGAAGCUGACCCUAUGUCCCGAGGUGGCAACAUCUCACAGCGGCGAGGGCAAAUCAUUCGAGUGUCUGCUCUAUCAACUGUCGAUGGUAGGUUAUAUGCCUACCAUGGUUGUAACGGGUAACGGGGAGUUAGGGCUCGACUCCGGAGAGCAGGCCUGAGAAACGGCCAGCACAUCUAAGGAAGGCAGCAGGCGCGCAAAUUACGCAAUGCUAGUACAAUAGCGACGUAGUGAAGAAAAAUAACGAUGUAGUUCUUAUUUACAAGAUCUACAAUUGGAAUGAGUACACUGUAAAUAUGUUAACGAGUAUCAAUUAGAGGGCAAGUCUGGUGCCAGCAGCCGCGGUAAUUCCAGCUCYAAUAGCGUAUAUUAAAGUUGUUGCGGUUAAAAAGCUCGUAGUUGGAUUUUUGGCUUUGCUCUUAAGUUAGGAAUACCGUUAAGGUUAGUUUGGCCAAUUUAAACAUGCUUCGCAUACGCAAGUAUGGGUCACUAGCUGGUAUUUUUAUAACUUAGAGCGGCCGUUUCGUCACUUUUAUAAGGUGCGAAACACGUCUAUUCAAUACAUAUUUAUAUGUGUAUGGUUUAGAUGAGUUUACCUUGAGAAAAUUAGAGUGCUCAAAGCAGGCGAAUCGUAUGGCGAAAGUCAUGCAUUAAUGCUUGAAUAAUGUUGCAUGGAAUAAUAGAAUAUGGCCUCGGUUCUAUUCUGUUGGUCUUGUAGAACAACAAACAAGUUCGCUAAAUCUAACAAUGUUCUCUGUUGGGUGGCACUAAUAGUAGUUACUUUUGCUUUUAAUAUACUGUAUGUUGCCUUAUUCGCAAGGGUAAGUGCCAUCAGUUAUUUUUAGCUUUAAGUAACUAAGGAUUAUGCCCGCUAGAAAAGCCUAACAGUUAACAAGAUUUGCGAAUCGAGGCAAUGGUUAAGAGGGAUAGACGGGGGCAUUCGUACUGCAUCGCUAGAGGUGAAAUUCUUAGACCGAUGCAAGACGAACUAAAGCGAAAGCAUUUGCCUAGAAUGUUUUCAUUAAUCAAGAACGAAAGUUAGAGGUUCGAAGGCGAUCAGAUACCGCCCUAGUUCUAACCAUAAACGAUGCCAAUUAGCAAUUAGGCUGAGUUUUUUCAUUAAAAUUAAAUGACUCGCCUAGCGGCUUUCGGGAAACCAAAAUGUUUCGGUUCCGGGGGAAGUAUGAUUGCAAAGUUGAAACUUAAAGGAAUUGACGGAAGGGCACCACCAGGAGUGGAGCCUGCGGCUUAAUUUGACUCAACACGGGGAAACUCACGAGGUUAGUACGCUAAAAUGCUUGACUGUUUGAAGUGCAUUCAAAAGAUAGCGAGUGGUGGUGCAUGGCCGUUCUUGAUUCGUAGAAUGAUUCGUCUGCUUAAUUGCGAUAACGAGUGAGACCUCGACCUAUUAACUAGUAUGUUUGAUCAUUUGGGAUACAAAACGUCUAUGCGGUUUAGCCAUGCGGGCAACUUGUUGUUCCGUAUGGCGGCUGUAUAGAUAGGCCCUCUGCUCAAACAGUGACUUCUUAGAGGGAUAAACGGUGUUUUAGCCGUAAUAAAUGAGGCAAUAACAGGUCUGUGAUGCCCUUAGAUAUCCUCGGCCGCACGCGUGCUACAAUGCUAAAAACAUCAUGCUUAUGUGAGUUGUUGUCUGUGAAGUUCUGUCUAGUUUUUGCGAUUAGGCCGCAAGGUUUGAUCGUGAUGCUGGAUAAGAGUCGCAGAAUUAACAAUUUAUGAAACCUUGGCUGAAAAGCCUGGGCAAUCAUUUAAACUUUUAGCAUGAUUUGGGAUUGGGGUUUGCAAUUGUUGUCCAUGAACGAGGAAUUCCUAGUAAGCGCGAUUCAUCAUAUCGCGUUGAUUAUGUCCCUGCCCUUUGUACACACCGCCCGUCGCUACUACCGAUUGAAUGAUUUAGUGAGGUCUUUGGACUGGCUAGCAUUAGAUGGCGUUAAAACCAUCUACGCUUGGCUGGGAAGAUGAUCGAACUUGAUCAUUUAGAGGAAGUAAAAGUCGUAA